UACGUAGGGUGCGAGCGUUGUCCGGAAUUAUUGGGCGUAAAGAGCUCGUAGGCGGUCUGUCGCGUCGAUCGUGAAAACUUGGGGCUUAACCCUGAGCUUGCGGUCGAUACGGGCAUGACUGGAGUUCGGCAGGGGAGACUGGAAUUCCUGGUGUAGCGGUGAAAUGCGCAGAUAUCUGGAGGAACACCGGUGGCGAAGGCGGCAUCCUGGACCGAGAUUGACGCUGAGGCGCGAAAGCCAGGGGAGCAAACGGG
rnacentral:rRNA from 1 species